rnacentral:rRNA from 1 species
AUUGAACGCUGGCGGCAUGCCUUACACAUGCAAGUCGAACGGCAGCACGGGUGCUUGCACCUGGUGGCGAGUGGCGAACGGGUGAGUAAUACAUCGGAACAUGUCCUGUAGUGGGGGAUAGCCCGGCGAAAGCCGGAUUAAUACCGCAUACGAUCUACGGAUGAAAGCGGGGGACCUUCGGGCCUCGCGCUAUCGGGUUGGCCGAUGGCUGAUUAGCUAGUUGGUGGGGUAAAGGCCUACCAAGGCGACGAUCAGUAGCUGGUCUGAGAGGACGACCAGCCACACUGGGACUGAGACACGGCCCAGACUCCUACGGGAGGCAGCAGUGGGGAAUUUUGGACAAUGGGCGAAAGCCUGAUCCAGCAAUGCCGCGUGUGUGAAGAAGGCCUUCGGGUUGUAAAGCACUUUUGUCCGGAAAGAAAUCCUUGGCCCUAAUACGGUCGGGGGAUGACGGUACCGGAAGAAUAAGCACCGGCUGACUACGUG